UCUCCGCUAAGAGGGCCCGGUGGAACCUCCGGGUUGCCUCAGUUCUGUUUUGAUAAUCAAGCUAACAUGUGUGCUAUAUCUCUGUUUUUAGUUUAAAUUUGUUUUAAAAUGUGAAUCUAGCAUUUUUGGAAUAAGUGUUACAUUAAAUCUACCGUAAAUGAAUAUGUCAAUAGAAAGCAUACUGGAGAACAGAAGAAUCACACAAGUCAAGUGAAGAAGAAAAUUAAACAAGAACAUAUUGUUGGAGCCAGCCCUUAUACUCAGUGGUCACGAAAAAAUUCCCCGCAUACUGAAGUUGGUUGAGAACACCAGAAGACGCAAGUAUGAG